CGGUGGGUGGCUCGCUUGUCGUGCCUUAGGCUCAUAACCUGAAGGUCGUAGGUUCAAAUCCUACCCCCGCAACCA
rnacentral:tRNA from 1 species